rnacentral:lncRNA from 1 species
CCUGCCUCUCCCAUCGCCUCAUUGGUUUAUAGAAGCAGGUACCCACGUGCCAUCUCCUCAUUGGUUACACCCACGUGGGUGAUUGAAAGACUAACUGUUUUGCCGGUUGUCAUGGUAAUACUAUGAAAGUGUAGAUGCCAAUCACCAUAUAAGUUGAAAGAUGAAAAAGCCUGGGAGGACAGAUGACUAAAAACGAUUCGGUUGACCGUUUUAUGUGAGGAUUAAUUGUCGGAGUAGAGAACCUUGUGCAUUUCAGUGCUUACUCCUCCCCAACUCAAGGCUGUCAUGGUGAUUGAUACCAGACUGUGUGUCUUCUCCUCCCAGAAGAUCCCUCCCAUAAGAUCCCUGAUGGCUAACAGUAACAUAUCCUGACAUAAUGUAAGUGUUAUACAUUACCCUCUCUCCCUCAGUGACAUUGUUAGGUUCUAAGAUCUCCAUCCGUCUCCCCUACACAUUCCAAAGCCAUCUGGCUCCUACAGAUAACCAUUAACUUCUGAUUAUAACAAUGUUCCAAGUUUAACCCAGAAUCUAACAGGUUGAAUUGUGUUUGGGAAAUAAAUGUAGACAUGGUUUUAAAAAAGUAGUGGUAAUACAGUAUUUCAUUCAGUACAGAAAUGUGUAGGCGGCUUAAUUAACCCCAUGUCAGGUGUAAGUUGCGCCAAGAUACCUACUUUUUGGGUUUACAUGAAUUCUGAUCAUUUUCUGGAAUACACAACAUCCUGAAAUAUAUGUAGAUAUCUUUGUUUGAAAGAAAACUAUCAUUCUCUUGACGGAGUGAUACUGAAUGUAUAAAAUGGCUCAACUUACCCCUCUCUCCCCUGCGUGGGAUGGCGCUGACAGAAAUGGUCGCCUCGUUUCGCUUUCUUAGGAAACUAUGCAGUAUUUAGUUUUUUUAUGUAUUAUUUCUUACACGGUUACCCCAGAAAAUCUCAAGUCUUAUUACAUACAGCCGGGAAGAACUAUUGGAAAGAAGAGCAACCUCAGCUUACCAACAUUACGACCAGGAAUACGACUUUCCCGAAGCGGAUACUCUGUUUGGACCACCACCCAGGACAAUGGCUCAGAUCCCAGUAGGCGACCCAAAACAACGGCGCCGCAGAAUGAGCAAACGGCGCGGUCUCCUGGUCAGGCUCCGUAGACGAGCACAUCCCUCACCGCUCCCGAGUAUACUACUCACCAAUGUCCAGUCUCUUCACAACAAGGUAGACAAAAUUUGUGCAAUGGUUGCCUUCCAGAGAGACAGGUUGCCUUCCUGUCUCUGCCUGGCCGGUUCCCCUCUCUCCACUGGGAUUCUCUGCCUCUAACCCUAUUACAGGGGCUGAGUCACUGGCUUACUUGGUGUUCUUCCAUGCCGUCCCUAGGAGGGGUGCGUCACUUGAGUGGGUUGAGUCCCUGACGUGGUCUUCCUGUCUGGGUUGGCGCCCCUCCCCCCCUUGGGUUGUGCCGUGGCGGAGAUCUUUGUGGGCUAUACUCGGCCUUGUCUCAGAAUGGACCUGAGCCCUAGGACCAUGCCUCAGGACUACCUGGCAUGAUGACUCCUUGCUGUCCCCAGUCCACCUGGCCGUGCUGCUGCUCCAGUUUCAACUGUUCUGCCUGCGGCUAUGGAACCCUGACCUGUUCACCGGACGUGCUACCUGUCCCAGACCUGCUGUUUUCAACUCUCUAGAGACAGCAGGAGCGGUAGAGAUACUCUCAAUGAUCUGCUAUGAAAAGCCAACUGACAUUUACUCUUGAGGUGCUGACUUGUUGCACCCUCGACAACUACUGUGAUUAUUAUUAUUUGACCAUGCUGGUCAUUUAUGAACAUUUGAACAUCUUGGCCAUGUUCUGUUAUAAUCUCCACCCGGCACAGCCAAAAGAGGACUGGCCACCCCUCAUAGCAUGGUUCCUCUCUAGGUUUCUUCCUAGGUUUUGGCCUUUCUAGGGAGAUUUUCCUAGCCACCGUGCUUCUACACCUGUAUUGCUUGCUGUUUGGGGUUUUAGGCUGGGUUUCUGUACAGCACUUUGAGAUAUUAGCUGGUGUAAGAAGGGCUAUAUAAAUAAAUUUGAUUUGACAUCAGAGAUUUAACAUUCUCUGUUUCACGGAAACUUGGCUCACUCGGGAUACGUUAUCAGAGUCGGUACAGUCACCCGGUUUCUUCACGCAUCGUGCCGACAGAAACAAACAUCUCUCUGGUAAGAAAAAGGGCUGGGAUGUAUGCCUUACGAUUAACGAGUCGUGGUGUGAUCAUAACAACAUUCACGAACACAAGUCCUUUUUUUCACCUGACCUAGAAUUCCUUAUAAUCAAAUGCUGACCGCAUUAUCUACCAAGAGAAUACCCUUCGAUUAUAAUCACAGCCGUGUAUAUCCCCCCCCCCCCAAGUAGACACCUCGACGGCCCUGACGGAACAUCACUGGACUCUGUGUAAACUGGAAACCACAUAUGCUGAGGCUGCAUUUAUUGUAGAUGGGGAUUUUAACAAAGCUAAUCUGAAAACAAGGCUCCCUAAAUUUUAUCAGCAUAUCGAAUGCGCGACCCGGGCUGGCAGCAUUGUGGAUCAUUGCUACUCUAACUUCCGCGACGCAUACAAAGCCCUCCCUCGCCUUCCUUUCAGCAAAUCUGACGACGACUCCAUUUUGUUGCUCCCAGCCUAUAGACAGAAACUAAAACAGGAAACACCCGUGCUCAGGUCUGUUCAACGCUGGUCCGACCAAUCUUAUUCCACGCUUCAAGAUUGCUUCGAUCACGUGGACUGGGAUAUGUUCCGGAUAGCCUGAGACAACAACAUUGAUGUAUCCGCUGAUUCGGUGAGUGAGUUUAUUAGCAAGUGCAUCAGUAAUGUUGUACCCACGGUGACUAUUAAAACCUUCCCCAACCAGAAACCAUUGAUUGAUGGUAGCAUUCGCGCAAAACUGAAAGCGUGAACCAUUGCUUUUAAUCAUGGCAAGCAGCCCAGAAACAUGACCAAAUACAAACAGUGUAGCUAUUCCCUCCGCAAGGCAAUCAAACAAGCUAAGCGUCAGUAUAGAGACAAGGUACAGCCGCAUGUCAACGGCUGAGACACGAGACGUAUGUGGCAGGGUAUACAGUCAAUCACGGAUUACAAAAAUAAAACCAGCGUCGCGGACACCGACAUAUUGCUCCCAGACAAACUAAACAACUUCUUUGCUCACUUUGAGGACAAUACAUUGCCAUUGACACAGCCCGCUACCAAAACCUGCAGGCUCUCCUUCACCGCAGCCAACGUGAGUAAAACAUUUAAACGUGUUAACCCUCGCAAGGCUGCCUACCCAGACAGCAUCCCUAGCCGCGUCCUCAGAGCAUGCGCAGACCAGCUAGCUAGUGUGUUUACGGACAUAUUCAAUCAAUCCCUAUCCCUGUCUGCUGUUCCCACAAGCUUCAAGAGGGCCACCAUUAUUACUGUUCCCAAGAAAGCUGAAAUAACUGAGCUAAACGACUAUUGCCCCGUAGCACUCACUUCCGUCAUCAUGAAGUGCUUCGAGAGACUAGUCAAGGAUCAUAUCACCUCCACCAUACCUGACACCCUAGACCCACUCCAACUUGCUUACCGUCCCAAUAGGUCCACAGACGACACAAUCGCAAUCACACUGCACACUGCCCUAACCCAUCUGGACAAGAGGAAUACCUAUGUAAGAACGCUGUUCAUCAAUUACAGCUCAGCAUUUAACACCAUAGUCCACCAUAGUACCCUCCAAACGCAACAGCGCCUCUUCAACCUCAGGAGGCUGAGGAAAUUUGGCUUGUCACCGAAAACACUCACAAAUUUUACAGAUGCACAAUCAAGAGCAUCCUGUCGGGCUGUAUCACCGCCUGGUACGGCAACUGCUCUGCCCACAACCGUAAGGCUCUCCAGAGGGUAGUGUGGUCUGCACAACGCAUCACCGGGGGAGAAACUACCUGUUCUCUAGGAAGACCUACACCACCCGAUGUCACAGGAAGGCCAAAAAGAUCAUCAAGGACAACAACCACCCAAACCACUGUCUGUUCACCCCGCUGUCAUCCAGAAGGCGAGCUCAGUUUGGGACCCUUAAUCCAGGCUGGACAGGAGGAAGUCAACCUGCAUUUCUAGAUUCACCAUCACCUGCCACGAGAGCCUCUGUGGGCUUUCAUAGAUGGACUCAUCGAGGUUGAAGAUGGAGUCCAACCACGCCUUCAUCUGAUCCUGACGACAACAGACACAUCAACUAUUAUUUAAUGACCAACUACAAAGAUAAGGAUGAACAAACCAUCACACACAGUUCAGGAUAGAGAGAGAGAGAGAGAGAGAGAGAGAGAGAGAGAGAGAGAGAGAGAGAGAGGGGGAGAGAGAAAUGCACCUUAAGGAGGAGGUAGAAGUUCCCAGCAGACUCUGUCCAGGCUCCUCCAGGAGGGUGAAUCGUCAUUAUCACUUCAAUGAGCAGAUAAAAGAAGGUACCAGGCCUCUGGAGAAGGAACAGGGGACAUGAGUGAGUGUCUACAGACCUGGUAUGGCUACAGUGUGGAUAGGGUAGAUAAACAACAAGAUGUUUACAUUAUUAGGGCCACUUACAGAUGUUGGAAGAGAUGUUUUUCCUUCUAGAAGGCUUAGUAGAACGAAUUCAUAAAAUACAUCCGUGAAGUUGAUGUGGUUGAUCUGAAGUCGAACAAAUAAGAUAAUUACAUCAUUUUCAUUGACAAGC